UACGUAGGUGGCAAGCGUUGUCCGGAUUUACUGGGCGUAAAGCGUAUGCAGGCGGAGCUUUAAGUAGGAAGUGAAAGGUUGGGGCUCAACCCUAACACUGCUCCCUAUACUGGAGUUCUGGAGUGCCGGAGAGGAAGAGGGAACUACACGUGUAGCGGUGAAAUGCGUUGAGAUGUGUAGGAACACCAAUGGCGAAAGCACUCUUCUGGACGGUGACUGACGCUGAGAUACGAAAGCCAAGGGAGCGAACAGG
rnacentral:rRNA from 1 species